CUUGGUCAUCCAACAGUAGGAAACUGUGCGGAUGGUAGGAUUGAGACGUGAUUUCGUCCGCUCUGGCCGAAUCGGAACUCGCUGAGGGUCGAUUAACAUCGCUGAUGAGACACGUCUACCUUGUGUGCUGCACUUGAUUAACUAGCUAAGGGUUAAGAUAAAAGAUGUACACCGAAUGCCCGGAGUAUUUGAUCAAUUACCACUGUUUUUCGUUGAACUAGCCAUCGCUGAUUCACACCUUACUUCAUCGCACUUCGCGCUCAGUUAGGAGUUAAGGACCGAGGUGUAAAGUAUUUUGGUACCUCGUAGCUUCGAAGACGCUUAAGUCCUGCAAGAAGGCGAAGAUGGUGUCCAUUUGAACUGUGAACGGCGUUGACCGAGACUGAUAUUUAUUUUAAGAGUCUUAUUUUUUCGCUCGGAAUAUUCCCCCGAUGUUUGUCCACGAUUUAUUUCAAGAGCUGGAACGCGAGAUUUCUAUUCGGUAACCGUUGAUUCAGCCGGACUAUAACGAUUAACCAAUGGCGUACGCGCUUACAGCCGGUGUAUCCUGUUUUCAGAACGAUCCAGAGGUCGAACAGGAGCAGCAGGUCGCCGAAGACGGGGCACGAUCGAUCUCUUGUUGCUCGCGGUGUAAACACGUCGGUGUCUUUGUUUGACGACCGGAGCUAGCCAGAAGUUGUAGCUGGACGAAACUCGUUGGAACUGAGCGGAGGACUGUAACGAGUGGCGAUGCCUGUCGAAAAUAACUCGUCGAUGUAGGGCCGCAUCUUGCCGCGCGGAUGAUCUAUUUAUACGCGGCGACACCCUCGCACCGUGCACAACGCGUAAUCCAGCCGCGGCCCUGCAGGCGCCCCGCAGUCGCUGUACCGUCAAAUAAGUCUGCACUUCUCGUUAAAAGCUUAGAUUUCGAGUGUUUUAAUGAUGUCAGUUAACUUUGAGCUUCCUUCAACUGCAAAGAGAGUCACCUGGACAGCAGAUAUAUGACAACUUUCG
rnacentral:lncRNA from 1 species